rnacentral:rRNA from 1 species
ACCGAAUAUGACUCUCGACUGCAUGGUUGAGAGUGGAAAGCUUUGCGGUGUGGGAUGGCCCGCGGCCUAUCAGUUUGUUGGUGGGGUUAAGGCCUACCAAGGCGACGACGGGUAGCCGGCCUGAGAGGGUGACCGGCCACACUGGGACUGAGAUACGGCCCAGACUCUACGGGAGGCAGCAGUGGGGAAUAUUGCACAAUGGGCGCAAGCCUGAUGCAGCGACGCCGCGUGAGGGACGACGGCUUCGGGUUGUAAACCUCUUUCAGCACAGACGAAGCGCAAGUGACGGUAUGUGCAGAAGAAGGACCGGCCAACUACGUGCCAGCAGCCGCGGUAAUACGUAGGGUCCGAGCGUUGUCCGGAAUUACUGGGCGUAAWDGAGCUCGUAGGUGGKUUUGUCGCGUUGUUCGUGAAAACUCACACCCKCCKSGUGCCCCCCCGGCCCCCCCGCCGCGCGCGGCGGGCGAAGGGCGAAGGGCGGCCGCUAAANU